rnacentral:rRNA from 1 species
UACGAAGGGGGCUAGCGUUGCUCGGAAUCACUGGGCGUAAAGCGCGCGUAGGCGGAUCGUUAAGUCGGGGGUGAAAUCCUGGAGCUCAACUCCAGAACUGCCUUCGAUACUGGCGAUCUUGAGUCCGGGAGAGGUGAGUGGAACUCCGAGUGUAGAGGUGAAAUUCGUAGAUAUUCGGAAGAACACCAGUGGCGAAGGCGGCUCACUGGCCCGGUACUGACGCUGAGGUGCGAAAGCGUGGGGAGCAAACAGG